CCCAGGGAUAGAAUGUUCUUAGGAUUCCUAUCAGGAGAUCUUCAGGGCAGCCUUUGACCUUGGCAACCAGACAACGGCAAAUGCUGAAAUGACCGAGCCUGUAGUAGGCUUGUGGCAAAACACGAAAUAAGAUCUACCAACCUCCAACCCUCUCCCACCUUCCCAGACAUAAUCAGUGGCACCAAGAAGAGGGACGAAAAUCUUUGAAACCAGGAGCCACGAUAAAAUUUGAUUCAGCAAGAAAAACAACGCAUGUUCCCAGAAAUGUAGCAUAUGCUGAGUUUUUUUUAUAAUGCCAACGUGUGAUUGCUACAGGUUUCCACAGAACACUGGGGAAGUCAACCAAGGCAAAGGUAAAAGUAGGAGCGCUCAGGUGUUUCCUCACCAGCCGGGGAUGAUUUGGAGCUUGGAGAGAGUCUGCCUCAGCCUCGGGAAUGCUGAGAUUAUUAACACGUGCCAUAUGCCCAGCCAAGACCUAUUUCUCAGGACUACUGUAGGAAUUGAUUCUAAACAGCAAGGAAAGAGGAAGAUGGUUGGCCUUGAAAAGGAGACCCUUGGAACUGUGUUUCGAUACUCUUAAGAGUGUGUGUUCGUGAGAUGCAAGAAUUCACGCAAAGCAGCCUCCAAACACUGACUGGAUCUCACUAAAAAAAUAAAAUUUCUGCAUCCUCUUUUC
rnacentral:lncRNA from 1 species